GCGAGCUUCAAGCGCCCUCUGCUGGACAUUCAUCCCCUGCUGUGUGCAUGGCCUGGUCGGGCAGGAAAGGAACAGGCAAAGAAGUUUGUUUAAUCCGGGUCCUGCACUGGGCCCUCCAUGCCUGGUUUUUCACCUGGGAGACAGAUGCUGGUGACAGUGUUUAUCCCAGAGGGAUCCCACGAGGUAGAGGAACUGGUGCUUGCAAUAGGAAUUGCUCAGAGCCUGGCACCGGCCCCAUCCUCUGUUACGAACAUACUCCUAGCUGGGACUUCAUGGACAGAGGAGACCUGCUGAGCUGUCCCAGCCUCAGGGCAGGACACCACCUCAGGACUCUGUUUGCAGUUCCAGGACCUGAGCAUCCUGAGCUCUGAAACUGUGUCCCUCCCCAAGCUGGAAUCUUCCCCCAAACAAAGAAAAAGCGGCGAACAUUUCCUGGGUUCCCCUGUGGGGGUGGGGCAUGGUAUGAAUAGGAAGGGGACGAAUGUAGGGCUUCAGGUGUCAACCCGGACCCAGCCUGGUCUGGUGGGCAUAU